AUGGCUCCCCCGCUCCUCCUCCUCGUCCUCUUCCUCCUCCCGGCCCUCGCCGCCGGCCACCAGCACCCCUCCUCCUACGGCUCCUCCGCCCUCUCCGAAUGGCGCAACGCCAAGUCCUCCUACUUCGCCGCCGACCCCGGAGACGCCAUCGGUGGCGCGUGCGGGUUCGGGGAUCUGGGGAAGCACGGGUACGGGAUGGCGACGGUGGGGCUGAGCACGGCGCUGUUCGAGCGCGGCGCCGCCUGCGGCGGCUGCUACGAGGUCAAGUGCGUGGAGGACCUCAAGUACUGCCUCCCCGGCACCUCCAUCGUCGUCACGGCCACCAACUUCUGCCCGCCCAACUACGGCUUCCCCGCCGACGCCGGCGGCGUCUGCAACCCGCCCAACCACCAUUUCCUCCUCCCCAUCCAGGCGUUCGAGAAGAUUGCGCUCUGGAAGGCCGGCGUCAUGCCCAUCCAGUACCGCCGCGUCAAGUGCCUUCGUGAAGGCGGCGUGCGGUUCUCGGUCUCCGGGAAGAGCUUCUUCUUCACAGUCCUAAUCAGCAAUGUCGGCGGCGCUGGCGAUGUCAGAUCAGUGAAGAUCAAAGGAACAGAGUCUGGCUGGCUCGACAUGGGCCGCAACUGGGGCCAGAUAUGGCACAUCAACUUAGAUCUCACAGGGCAGCCGGUGUCCUUUGAGCUCACCUCGAGUGACGGCACGACAAUGACCAAUUUCAACGUUGUGCCCAAGGAUUGGGAGUUUGGCAAAACAUACACCGGCAAGCAAUUCCUGCUCUAG
rnacentral:rRNA from 1 species